rnacentral:rRNA from 1 species
GAUCAUGGCUCAGAUUGAACGCUGGCGGCAGGCCUAACACAUGCAAGUCGAACGGUAACAGGAAGAAGCUUGCUUCUUUGCUGACGAGUGGCGGACGGGUGAGUAAUGUCUGGGAAACUGCCUGAUGGAGGGGGGAUAACUACUGGAAACGGUAGCUAAUACCGCAUAAUGUCGUAAGACCAAAGAGGGGGGACCUUCGGGCCUCUUGCCAUCGGAUGUGCCCAGAUGGGAUUAGCUAGUAGGG